GGUUUCUUUUUUCCUCAUUACUUUAAUGGGCAUGUGGAAUUACAAAUUUAGUUAAUUAUUUGUUUAGCAGGUAAUUGUACCGACUUUUGGCAGAUGAUAUUCAGAAAUUCUGAACCAUCUUAGAGGAUUCCUAAGAAAAGGAAGAUUUAUUCAGUGAAUGAAGGAAAUGCUAAGAACUGGGAUGGUCCCACAUCCAAAUUGUCAGGUGUAUAUUCCGUGAUCUGAGCUUUAGAAGAGGAAGCAUUAACCGCGGUUGAUACUGGAAUUAGUUCUACUCUAAGAGUUCUACUGAUCUUAUUGUCUCCACCUACAACAUAGUCAACUAUCAGCAUGAAUACGUGCUUCAUAGCUUCCUAUUAAAAAAAAUUAACAGCUGAUCACCUACGCCGAAAGCAGUAGUAGCAAAUGCAUUUGCUCAUAGAAUAGAUCGACACAAAGCUUAUGUAAAGCUUUAAUUCAUUGACUCAUAUGUUAAUUUAGAUCUUGAGUUAAAUUUACAUUGUGGCAUUAAAGUUGUACUAAUUUCAAGGGAGUGAUAUAUCAAUGCAA